rnacentral:rRNA from 1 species
GACGAACGCUGGCGGCGUGCUUAACACAUGCAAGUCGAACGAAGAGCGAUGGAAGCUUGCUUCUAUCAAUCUUAGUGGCGAACGGGUGAGUAACGCGUAAUCAACCUGCCCUUCAGAGGGGGACAACAGUUGGAAACGACUGCUAAUACCGCAUACGAUCUAAUCUCGGCAUCGAGGAUAGAUGAAAGGUGGCCUCUACAUGUAAGCUAUCACUGAAGGAGGGGAUUGCGUCUGAUUAGCUAGUUGGAGGGGUAACGGCCCACCAAGGCGAUGAUCAGUAGCCGGUCUGAGAGGAUGGACGGCCACAUUGGGACUGAGACACGGCCCAGACUCCUACGGGAGGCAGCAGUGGGGAAUCUUCCGCAAUGGACGAAAGUCUGACGGAGCAACGCCGCGUGAGGGAUGACGGCCUUCGGGUUGUAAAGCUCUGUUAAUCGGGACGAAAGGCCUUCUUGCGAAUAGUGAGAAGGAUUGACGGUACCGGAAGAGAAAGCCACGGCUAACUACGUG